AGCGAACGCUGGCGGCAGGCCUAACACAUGCAAGUCGAACGAAGUCUUCGGACUUAGUGGCGGACGGGUGAGUAACACGUGGGAACGUGCAUUUAGUUUCGGUAUAACUCAGGGAAACUUGUACUAAUACCGAAUGUGCCCUUCGGGGGAAAGAUUUAUCGCCUUUAGAGCGGCCCGCGUCUGAUUCGCUAGUUGGUGAGGUAAAGGCUCACCAAGGCGACGAUCAGUGGCUGGUCUGAGAGGAUGAUCAGCCACAUUGGGACUGAGACACGGCCCAAACUCCUACGGGAGGCAGCAGUGGGGAAUUUUGCGCAAUGGGCGAAAGCCUGACGCAGCCAUGCCGCGUGAAUGAUGAAGGUCUUAGGAUUGUAAAAUUCUUUCACCGGGGACGAUAAUGACGGUACCCGGAGAAGAAGCCCCGGCUAACUUCGUGCCAGCCGCCGCCGUAACAC
rnacentral:rRNA from 1 species